GAUGAAGAACGUAGCGAAAUGCGAUAAGUAGUGUGAAUUGCAGAAUUCAGUGAAUCAUCGAAUCUUUGAACGCACAUUGCGCCCCUCGGUAUUCCGUGGGGCAUGCCUGUUCGAGCGUCAUUUAACCCCUCAAGCCUAGCUUGGUAUUGGGUGCUUGUCCCGCCUCUCGCGCGGCGACUCACCUCAAAGUCAUUGGCAGCCCUCAUCUCGCCGGCCGUGAGUGCAGCACAGACGCGCUCUUGGCAACGACGGAUCGGCUCUCCAAAAGCUUAUUUCAACCACUGACCUCGGAUCAGGUAGGGAUACCCGCUGAACUUAAGCAUAUCAAUAAGCGGAGGA
rnacentral:misc_RNA from 1 species